rnacentral:rRNA from 1 species
UGGAUCCAGACUUUGAUUCUGGCUCAGGAUGAACGCUAGCGACAGGCUUAACACAUGCAAGUCGAGGGGCAGCGGGGGUGUAGCAAUACACCUGCCGGCGACCGGCGCACGGGUGAGUAACACGUAUGGAACCUGCCCCCGGCCGGGGGAUAAGCGGAAGAAAUUCCGUCUAAUACCGCAUAACGCAGUACUGAGGCAUCUCAGUGCUGCCAAAGGAGAGAUCCGGCCGGGGAUGGACAUGCGGCGCAUUAGUUAGUUGGCGGGGUAACGGCCCACCAAGGCGACGAUGCGUAGGGGUUCUGAGAGGAAGGUCCCCCACAUUGGAACUGAGACACGGUCCAAACUCCUACGGGAGGCAGCAGUGAGGAAUAUUGGUCAAUGGGCGGAAGCCUGAACCAGCCAAGUCGCGUGAGGGAAGACGGUCCUAUGGAUUGUAAACCUCUUUUGCAGGGGAGCAAGGCGCCUUACGAGUAAGGCGUUGGAGAGUACCCUGAGAAAAAGCAUCGGCUAACUCCGUGCCAGCAGCCGCGGUAAUACGGAGGAUGCGAGCGUUAUCCGGAUUUAUUGGGUUUAAAGGGUGCGUAGGCGGGCUGGUGAGUCAGCGGUAAAAAUGCGGUGCUCAACGCCGUAGUGCCGUUGAAACUGCCGGUCUUGAGUGAGCGAGAAGUAUGCGGAAUGCGUGGUGUAGCGGUGAAAUGCAUAGAUAUCACGCAGAACUCCGAUUGCGAAGGCAGCAUACCGGCGCUCAACUGACGCUGAGGCACGAAAGCGUGGGGAUCGAACAGGAUUAGAUAGCCUGGUAGUCCACGCAGUAAACGAUGAAUGCUAACUGUCCGGCCCGAUUAUGGGCUGAGCGGUAAAGCGAAAGCAUUAAGCAUUCCACCUGGGGAGUACGCCGGCAACGGUGCAACUCAAAU